rnacentral:rRNA from 1 species
CCUACGGGAGGCAGCAGUGGGGAAUAUUGCGCAAUGGGGGAAACCCUGAUGCAGCGACGCCGCGUGAGUGAAGAAGUAUUUCGGUACGUAAAGCUCUAUCAGCAGGGAAGAAAAUGACGGUACCUGACUAAGAGGCCCCGGCUAACUACGUGCCAGCAGCCGCGGUAAUACGUAGGGGGCAAGCGUUAUCCGGAUUUACUGGGUGUAAAGGGAGCGUAGACGGCAGCGCAAGUCUGGAGUGAAAUCCCAUGGCUUAACCAUGGAACUGCUUUGGAAACUGUGCAGCUAGAGUGCAGGAGAGGUAAGCGGAAUUCCUAGUGUAGCGGUGAAAUGCGUAGAUAUUAGGAGGAACACCAGUGGCGAAGGCGGCUUACUGGACUGUAACUGACGUUGAGGCUCGAAAGCGUGGGGAGCAAACAGGAUUAGAUACCCUAGUAGUC